rnacentral:rRNA from 1 species
UGCCAGCAGUCGCGGUUAAACCAAGAAAUUUAGUCAUUCUUUUAUGGUAAAAAGACAGUUAGGCAAAGAAAAAAUAAAUGAUCAUUAGAUCUUUAGUAUAGGAGUAAAAUCUAAAUACUAAAAGUUAUAUCAGGCAUGGUUUAUUUAGGGUGCUGAAUCUGUGAUAGCUUCAAGGGAAACUGGGAUUGGAUACCCCAUUAUUUUUGGCUGUAAAUUUAGUUUAAAUUUACCAGAGUACUACGAAUAAAAGGUUUAAAACUCAAAGGGCUUGGCGGUGUUUUAGACCUCUCAGGGGAACCUGUCUCGUAAUCGACAAUCCGCGUUAAACCUAACCUUUUAUGGUAAUACAGCCUGUAUACCGUCGUCGUCAGGUAACUUUUUAAAAUAUAAUAGUUGGCUUGAAAAUCGAAUUAAUUAAAACGUCAGAUCAAGGUGCAGCUAAUAAAGAGGUGAGGAUGGGUUACAAUUACAUAUUUGUAAUUACGGAGAAUACUUGAAAUGAAGUGUUUUAAAGGAGGACUUGAAAGUAAUUCUAAUUAUAUAAAUAGGAUGAAUAGGGCUCUGAAACGUGCACACAUCGCCCGCCACUCU